rnacentral:rRNA from 1 species
UGGGGAAUAUUGGACAAUGGGGGGAACCCUGAUCCAGCCAUGCCGCGUGUGUGAAGAAGGCCUUUUGGUUCCGAAGCACUUUAAGCGAGGAGGAGGCUACCGAGAUUAAUACUCUUGGAUAGUGGACGUUACUCGCAGAAUAAGCACCGGCUAACUCUGUGCCAGCAGCCGCGGUAAUACAGAGGGUGCAAGCGUUAAUCGGAUUUACUGGGCGUAAAGCGCGCGUAGGUGGCCAAUUAAGUCAAAUGUGAAAUCCCCGAGCUUAACUUGGGAAUUGCAUUCGAUACUGGUUGGCUAGAGUAUGGGAGAGGAUGGUAGAAUUCCAGGUGUAGCGGUGAAAUGCGUAGAGAUCUGGAGGAAUACCGAUGGCGAAGGCAGCCAUCUGGCCUAAUACUGACACUGAGGUGCGAAAGCAUGGGGAGCAAACAG